rnacentral:lncRNA from 1 species
GCUUCACAGAUACCUAUGGUGUCCGGGAUGUCUCCGAUGCAAUCACGGACUCGACUUCGAACACAUUGGCGAUCAUGGUCAUCGCGAUCAUCAUAAUCUUCGGGAUUACUGCAGUACUCGCCUUCCUUCUCCUCGGUGAUGACAUGUCGGAUACCGGUCGAGACUCCGAGAUCGAUUCCGGAGGAGGACGUGGCGGCGGAGGCGGCG